CCUACGGGCGGCAGCAGUCGAGAAUCAUUCACAAUGGGGGAAACCCUGAUGGUGCGACGCCGCGUGGGGGAAUGAAGGUCUUCGGAUUGUAAACCCCUGUCAUGUGGGAGCAAAUUAAAAAGAUAGUACCACAAGAGGAAGAGACGGCUAACUCUGUGCCAGCAGCCGCGGUAAUACAGAGGUCUCAAGCGUUGUUCGGAAUCACUGGGCGUAAGGCGUGCGUAGGCUGUUUCGUAAGUCGUGUGUGAAAGGCGCGGGCUCAACCCGCGGACGGCACAUGAGACUGCGAGACUAGAGUAAUGGAGGGGGAACCGGAAUUCUCGGUGUAGCAGUGAAAUGCGUAGAUAUCGAGAGGAACACUCGUGGCGAAGGCGGGUUCCUGGACAUUAACUGACGCUGAGGCACGAAGGCCAGGGGAGCGAAAGGGAUUAGAUACCCCUGGUAGUC
rnacentral:rRNA from 1 species